rnacentral:rRNA from 1 species
AUGAACGCAGCGACAGGCCAACACAUGCAAGUCAGGGGCAGCACAAGGAGCAAUCUGAGGUGGCGACCGGCGCACGGGUGAGUAACACGUAUGCAACCUGCCUGUAAGCGGGGAAUAACCCGUUGAAAGACGGACUAAUACCGCAUAAUACUAAAUUACUGCAUGGUAAUUUAUUUAAACAUUUAUGGCUUACAGAUGGGCAUGCGCAUGAUUAGCUAGUUGGAGAGGUAACGGCUCCCCAAGGCAACGAUCAUUAGGGGUUCUGAGAGGAAGGUCCCCCACACUGGUACUGAGACACGGACCAGACUCCUACGGGAGGCAGCAGUGAGGAAUAUUGGUCAAUGGACGAGAGUCUGAACCAGCCAAGUCGCGUGCAGGAAGAAUGUCCCUAUGGAUUGUAAACUGCUUUUGCAGGGGAAUAAAGUGCAUCACGUGUGAUGUUUUGUAUGUACUCUGCGAAUAAGGAUCGGCUAACUCCGUGCCAGCCGCAGC